AGCUGGCUGGUUCCAUGAGGUGACUUCUGCCCAGUGCUCUGAUUGUCAUGGCAAAGAGAUUUCGCCAAGCGCGGGUAAACGGCGGGAGUAACUAUGACUCUCUUAAGGUAGCCAAAUGCCUCGUCAACCAAUUAUUGACGCGCAUGAAUGGAUCAACGAGAUUCCUGCUGUCCCUAGGUGCUGUCCGGUGAACCAACAGCCAAGGGAACGGGCUUGGGCGUGUCAGCGGGGAAAGAAGACCCUGUUGAGUUUGACUCUAGUUUGAUGCUGUGCAACGACAUGUGGGGUGUAGCAUAGGUGGGAGGCGAGUGCCAUCCUCCAUCGUCACCAGUGGUGCUGUGUGGUGUGUGGUGCCCUGCCAUCCCCAGCUCAUGGCUGAUGCCAAAUGCCUCGUCAACCAAGAAGGUGCCCUGGGGUGCCUGGUGCAUUGAUGGAGCCUCCGUUGUUGUCUCAUCACACGAUGUGUGCCUGUGUGCUGCCACGAAAGAUGGCUGGGGAAGAGGUGGAAAGGGAGCCCCACCACAAGGAUGGUGCGAACCAGCAGUGAAAUACCACUACCUUCACCGUCGUUUUACUCAUCGAGUGGCUUGGGAACAGCGGCCAUUUGGACAUCGGCCCCGGCAUGUGUGCACCCCCAGGACCUUCCUGGUGCUGUGUGUGCCUUGUGGGGGUCGCCGGCCUCAUCCUGCUUCGUGUGUCAAGUGUGGGCGUCCCCACACCGUCCUCGUGGCGGCCUCUGGGGGUUCUACCGUCCGCAUGACCCUGGGGGUCUGGUGAAGCCCCUUCCGUCAGUUCGGAGCCUCGGGACAAUGAUCAGUUGGGGAGUUUGGCUGGGGCGGCACGCCUGUUACAGGACAACGCAGGCGUCCUGAAGCAUUGCUCAGAUGGAACAGAAAUCUUGCAUGGAGGAGCAGGCCAAAGGUGCUGCUGAUGCGGCGACUUCCAGUACAAGUCCAGAACGUGCAAGCGUGGCCUUGCGAUCCUUUGGUCAAGUGUGCGGGUUCGGGAUAUUGAAGCCAGAGGUGUCAGAAAAAUUACCACAGGGAUAACUGGCUUGUGGCUGCCAAGCGUUCAAAGCGACGUCGCUUUUUGAUCCUUCGAUGUCGGCUCUUCCUAGCUUCCCACCCGCAGCCGAGUGGAAGAGUUGGAUUGUUC
rnacentral:rRNA from 1 species